UGCCUCCUCCAUCCAAGGAGUACGCGGCCAAGCCAAAUCUCUUCUCUCCGUGACCACAACGCCGCCGCCACCACCAGUGAUUCUGCCUAGCUCCGGCGCCUGCUGCGCCGCCGCUUACAGGAGCAGCUACCCCUCACUACCCUUCCCCGAUCCCUCGCCAUGGCGACUUCCUCUGCGCCCCUACAUGCGGCCCGCAGCAACCCUAGUUACCACAGGUCGCCAACGCCCCGCGCCUCCUCUGUUUUGUCAAUCUGCUGCCCCGCGCCUCCUCUGGUUUGUCGACCUACUGCCCCGCGCCACGUCUCCGCACGCGCCGCUCCCGGCUCGGCCUUGGUGGCCAGGGCGGAUUCUUUGCCGGCCAUCGUGAUGACAAUCCACGCUACCUUGACUGCUCAUCCUGAUCCACCGCCGCGGGCGCUGGCUUGCACCGGCAUCAAUGUCACUACACUCCGUAAAUCAUAGGAUGCCUAACAUCACACGGUAAUGAUCUGCCCGCGGUGUUUUCAAGGGGAGAGGCGGAUGAUUUAAAGUGCUAGUAUCAGAAUAUUAGAUCGCUGGUGGCGUGUUGUCUGCUGGAAGCAAUUCGCCUAGAGGGGAAAGGGUGGCCGUUGUACCGGGGGUGAGUACAAUCGAGGGCGAGGCACACGUGGGUGGGGAGGAAACACUUGGUGCUAGGUUAAAGGAAGGGCUGAGUACGAUUAGUCCAGUGUAGUUACAGGUGUUGGCCUCUAGCUUGCUGUCAAACACGUGCUCUUGCAGAGGACCAGAGUAAUGCUUUAAUUCCCGCCAAUGCAUCAAUGCAAGGAUACCAGAAUAUGGGUUGCUUUAGACUUUCCUUGAGGAACUGGUGACAAAAUACACAGAAACCAAGUUUGUUAAAUUAUCUCCACUAACUAUAUUCCCAACUACGCAUAUAAGAUGUUUCCAAAGGGAUUUUUGUUGGUCUGCAGCAGCUUUGUGGAACGAAAUGCACACCUGAAUUGGCGCAUUGCCAGUCAGUUCUAGUACUGAACCAUGGGCAGGGUGGCGGUAAUUCAUCCUAUAACAAUGUCAUAGAAGGCAUUCGCAGGAAGUUCAUAGAGAAGCUUGUCAUCCAGCAUGAAGGACGAUGAAGACGAAGAUGAUGCAUGGCUAAGUUGUUGAUAGAAAGGUGGAAAAUGGGGCUACUACAAGAUAAUUUUACAUUUACGUUAUACAAUGUCAGUUUCAUGGUUAAUAAAUAGGAGAUAAUGUAGUAUCUUUAUCAGAUUGUGUUCCAUGUAAUGCA